GGCUCAAGUGUUAAGAGUGCCAGCCUUGAGCAAAAAAACUCUGGGACUGUACCCAGGCCCUUAGUUCAAGCCAGUGUGCUGGCACAUACACAUAUGAUAUUUGGAGUGGCAAGAAACUAGAAACAACCUUUACAUCCCUGACACGGAGGUAGGGGUUAGAUUUGUUGGUCUUUAUCUGUGCAGCGGAAUACAAUGUGGUUGCUACACCAGAGUUAGCAAAUGAGAAGUUGAUCCCAUAGGAAACUCUGGUUGAGAGGAAAUUUCCACUUAACCUAGCUUUUCCUUAACCUGAACUUCCUGCAAGAGCAGGGCAGGG